rnacentral:snRNA from 1 species
AGCUUUGCUCAGUGGCAGUAUCGUAGCCAAUGAGGUUUAUCCGAGGCAUGAUUAUUGAUAGA